rnacentral:rRNA from 1 species
UACGGAGGAUGCGAGCGUUAUCCGGAUUUAUUGGGCGUAAAGAGCGCGCAGGUGGUUAAUUAAGUCUGAUGUGAAAGCCCACGGCUUAACCGUGGAGGGUCAUUGGAAACUGGUUGACUUGAGUGCAGAAGAGGGGAGUGGAAUUCCAUGUGUAGCGGUGAAAUGCGUAGAGAUAUGGAGGAACACCAGUGGCGAAGGCGGCUUCCUGGUCUGCAACUGACACUGAGGCUCGAAAGCAUGGGUAGCGAACAGG